UCGGUCCCUAGGAUCCAGGGGGUAAAAGGACAGGUUGCCAUCUGGCCUUCACACUCACAACGGGACAUGCGUGUGCCUGCAUACUCUCUAAAUGAAUGUUUCUUAAAAAUCCAAAAGAAACUUAAAGAGAGCGCUGGGGGUGUAACAUAGAGCUGAGCACAUGCCUAAUGCACACCAAGCCCUGGAGUCAAUAUCCAGUUGUGCAAAAGAAGGAGAAUUAAACACAGACAGGGCCCUCCCCACAUCUGCAGGGCAAGCUGAUUCCUACCUCAGGAGGUGUGACCUCGGGGCACUUCUCCAAGGCACUGUGGUGUUUGGGGUCUGGGCUGGAAUCCAAGGCUAUGGUCAGGGGCUGUGUGUCUUGGGCAAGAAGUGAGGCUGGGUGCUGGGGACUGGAUUCAAGGCAUGCAGGAGCCAAGCCAGGGUCUUGGGUCAGAGGCUCCGAGGCCAGAGGGAGCUCAUCCAUUCCAAAGAUCUGCUCAUAGUGCACAAUGAGGAACUCAACCAGCUGAGCCUGGUGACCGGAGUCCAGCAGACAGGCCACAGGGCUGGCACCGGUGGCCCUGGGUCCAUCUGGUGGCCGCAGCAGUGUAGGCCCAAAUACAAUUCCCAGAUUGUUGGCAGACAUCUUGUUUUCUUCAAACCGAGCAGCCACCCUGAGGAUGUGUAGGGAGAAGAGUCAGGCAUGGAAUCGGAGGCAUCAGUGGAGGACAAGUGGAGGACCUGUAAGCUAGGCUGGUGACUUAGCCAGGCCACAGCAAAAAAAGUCUCUGGUCACGGCUUGAAACCAGCUAGUUACAUGUUCAGGGAAAGAGGGCCACAGUUCCAAGCUUAGGGACCCAUGCACACCUGAACAGAUGGGCCACCAGGUGUCGCAGGGUACUGUAGUUAGAGUCAGGCAGCUGCACCAAGAGGGUCUUCAGCGAGCGAAUAAUCUCAGGGCUGGGGUUGGGGGUCCCAGGGUCGUCCCCAGGGUCUGCAUGCAGGGUCUUUGCCAGAGAGAUGAAGGCGUCGUACAAGUGGAAGGGGACCACGGGAUCAGUGAGCUGGUGGGGACAGGAGUGUGGGUGGGCUGCUGAGGGUCCUCAACCAGAGGUGGUAUGGCCCUGCCCACCACCUCUGGCCUGGAACCACCUACCUCCUGAAGAAAUCGCUUGAGAACGCUGGUGAUAUCGUGAGGAGAGUUCCCGGACAGCUCGACCAGUGCUCGGCCAUUCUCAAAGGCCUGGCACAGCCGCUCCACACGUACCCGAGACCCGCUGACCCGAUAGAUACCCUGCAGGGUAAGGGAUACCUGGCUUGUGACCUGGCCAUCAGUGGGGACUUGUGGGGACUGAUGAGGAUGUCACCUACCUGCAAGCCCAGGGCACGGUGCUCUAUCUCAGCUGUGCAUCUGGUAAUCACAAAGGGAACCUCCUCAGGGAAAUCUCUGGGGAGCUGUAGGAAGUCAACCCCAAAGAGGGACAUCCGGGCCGGAAGCCGCCGGUGUCCACAAAGGAUGAGGAGGGUCUCCAG
rnacentral:lncRNA from 1 species